AUGUAACCCAGGUGUCCGCCAUGACCCAAUCACCUUCCCUUUAAGCUGUCCCUUUAAGUUGAUUGUCAUGUGUGCUUCCGGGUUUUGUUUUUUCUUCCCCACCUUGCUGCUACUCGCUGUUGGUUGUUGUGUUGGUUGUUUGUAAAACAACCUGGAGUGUCUGAAUCGACUCAUCACUCAUGUAAUCUCUAAAACUUGAAGAUUGCGGUUGUGAUCCAUUGAGAGCUGGUAAACCUUCCUGUUUUGAGCAAGUUAUCAUUGCAUCUACCUCUACAGAUAAUCCGUUACUCGACGGUCAGGUUUUUUUUUCGCCUUUGCUGUUGCAUUGACUCACUUGAUGACGGAAGAUGGCGAGCUACCCACCCACCAUCUGGUGGUAGGAAAACGGAACUACACUUUCCCUACAGAAACGAACUAAAAACUCUGAGUAUUGAAAAGGGAACAUAAUUAUUCUCUUUUUGUUCUUGGAUCUAUUGUGGACUCUAUUACGUUUGAAGUAUCACUGAUUAUUAUUAUAAUUGUUUUUGUUUUGUUUUUUUUCCCUUUUCUGUUUUUGGAAAUUUAUUGUUUUGUUGUUUUGGUAUUAUUAUUAUUAUUAUUAUUAUUAUCAUUGCCACUGCAAUAAAUAGCAGUAUUAACAAACUUUACUUUUUUUGUAUCAGUUGUAUUAAUUAUUCACCCCACUCAUGACUCCAUGCCGUACCUACUUCUGAUUAUACAAACUGGUUAACACUACACCUCGCAGUCAGAUCUGCUCAGUUGAGAAAGGCG